UGGACUGAAGGGAGCUCCCUA
rnacentral:miRNA from 1 species